rnacentral:snRNA from 1 species
AUCAUUUUUGUUGUCUUUUGGCUAAGAUCAAGUGUAGUUCUGUUCUUAUCACUUUUGUAUCUGAUAUAUCCUCUAUUUGAGGAUUCUAAAAUGAAUUUUUGGAAUUGGGAGAUGGAAUAGAGGCAUAAAAAAAGAAAAAAAUCCUCUUCAAGCUUCAAAGAUUGGCACAGAAA